UACAUGGGGUGCAAACGUUGCUCGGAAUUAUUGGGCGUAAAGCGCACGUAGGCGGCUCUCUAAGUCGCAUGUGAAAGCCCCAGGCUUAACCUGGGAAGUGCAUGCGAUACUGGAAGCUUGAGUACUAGAGGGGUCGGCGGAAUUCCCGGUCGUAGAGGUGAAAUUCGUAGAUAGUCGGGAGGAACACCAGCGGCGAAGGCGGCGACCUGGAUAGAUACUGACGCUGAGGUGCGAAAGCGUGGGGAGCAAACAGG
rnacentral:rRNA from 1 species